CGCGUAGGCGGAUUGUUAAGUCGGGGGUGAAAUCCCGGGGCUCAACCCCGGAACUGCCUCCGAUACUGGCAGUCUAGAGGUCGAGAGAGGUGAGUGGAAUUCCGAGUGUAGAGGUGAAAUUCGUAGAUAUUCGGAGGAACACCAGUGGCGAAGGCGGCUCACUGGCUCGAUUCUGACGCUGAGGUGCGAAAGCGUGGGGAGCAAACA
rnacentral:rRNA from 1 species